ACGGAGGAUGCAAGCGUUAUCCGGAUUUAUUGGGUUUAAAGGGUGCAUAGGCGGUUUGAUAAGUCAGCGGUGAAAAAUUUCAGCUUAACUGGAAUGGUGCCGUUGAUACUGUUAGGCUUGAAUAUAGUUGCUGUGGGUGGAAUGUGUGGUGUAGCGGUGAAAUGCUUAGAUAUCUCGCAGAAUAUCGAUUGUGAAGGCAGCUCACAAAGCUAUUAUUGACGCUGAUGCACGAAAGUGUGGGGAUCAAACAG
rnacentral:rRNA from 1 species